rnacentral:lncRNA from 1 species
GUAGAAGAGAUAAGCAUAGAGAAAUGGUCGAUCACCCACACUAAUUUCCUAUCCUGAACAGUCUUCUUCAUCUGUUAGUAGCCAUUGUUUUGACAAUCAUGGUAUAAAAGGAUCAACCACGUCAACCGUCAUUGGACCUUCCAAGCAUCAGCAUUCAACUCUUGGGGAUCCCAAUUUUGUGGAGAAUUACUUCAAGGUAUUGAAUAGAUUAAAGAUUUCCUUUUCUCACUUUGUUGUGAGAUAUUUGAUUAGUUCUCUAUAAUCCUUUGCGAUAUUUGCUUCAAGCCAAUUGUUCUGCCCCCCUCAAUUACUAGGAAUGUUAAACCUUUAUGUGGCUAAUUGUUUGAGUAUGCCUUAUUGAGUUAAUUACCUUUAUGUGGCUAAUUGUUUGAGUAUGCCUUAUUGAGUUAAUUACCUUUAUGUGGUGAUAGUGGGUAUGUUUUAUUUUAUUUUAUUUUUGCAGUCUUGAUUUGUUUGUAAUUGUCGUAUCCUUAAUUCCUUUUGAUAUUUUUCUUGUAUUUCAGAGUGGGAAAUACAUCUUUGAUGAAUCAGUAUCCUUUAUUUUGAGAUACAUGCUUUGUUUUAGCACAUUAUAUUUGAUUGUUAGUUGCAUUGAAAGACACACAAUGACAAUUACUAAUUUGUUAAGAAAGAUGUGAUUACUUUGCAAAAUUCAAUUGUUUAAAUUAUUUUCAUAGCCUACUUUGAUUGCUAUUAUUUGUGGGAAAAUUAUUCUACAUUCUUUAAGCUGAUCUUAAACUGCUUCCUACAUUGUUUCACCCUUGGGAAGAAAGUUUGCGGGAGGCACAUGAGUUUGGAAAACUUGGGAAGAAAGUUUGAAAUGCCUUCAAUGAAAGUUGUAGAGAAAAGAUGGUGCAGCAGACUGCAUUGUAUUUUUUAUUACCUUGCAAUGUGUAUAGUCAUAGGCAGGUUUAACUAGUCAGUCUGUUUCUCAUAUGUUUUAUUUAUUUUUACUUUAAUAUUUACGACAACUUGAGUUCUAACUUUUGGAUUUUAAUUGUGUUAUUAAUUUAUUAUUUUAAAUUCUAAAAC